UACGGGGGGGGCAAGCGUUGUUCGGAAUUACUGGGCGUAAAGGGUUCGUAGGUGGCUCGCUAAGUCAGACGUGAAAUCCCUCAGCUUAACUGGGGAACUGCGUCUGAGACUGGCAAGCUCGAGUGCAGGAGAGGAACGCGGAAUUCCAGGUGUAGCGAUGAAAUGCGUAGAUAUCUGGAGGAAUACCGGUGGCGAAGGCGGCAUCCUGGACCGGCAUUGACGCUGAGGAGCGAAAGCUAGGGGAGCAAACGGG
rnacentral:rRNA from 1 species